rnacentral:rRNA from 1 species
UAUGGACGUGAAUAACCUUGGGAAACUGAGAAUAAUGCCCGACAGAACAUUAUACCUGGAACGGUUUAUGUUUCAAAUGAUUUAUCGCCGUAGGAUGGGACUGCGGCCUAUCAGUUUGUUGGUGAGGUAAUGGCCCACCAAGACUAUUACAGGUACGGGCUCUGAGAGGAGUAGCCCGGAGAUGGGUACUGAGACACGGACCCAGGCCCUAUGGGGCGCAGCAGGCGAGAAAACUUUGCAAUGUGCGAAAGCACGACAAGGUUAAUCCGAGUGGUUUCUGCUAAAGAAACCUUUUGCUAGUCCUAGAAACACUAGUGAAUAAGGGGUGGGCAAGUUCUGGUGUCAGCCGCCGCGGUAAAACCAGCACCUCAAGUGGUCAGGAUGAUUAUUGGGCCUAAAGCAUCCGUAGCUCGUUUUGUAAGUUUUCGGUUAAAUCCAUACGCUCAACGUAUGGGCUGCCGGGAAUACUGCAUAACUAGGAAGUGGGAGAGGUAGACGGUACUCGGUAGGAAGGGGUAAAAUCCUUUGAUUUAUUGAUGACCACCUGUGGCGAAGGCGGUCUACCAGAACACGUUCGACGGUGAGGGAUGAAAGCUGGGGGAGCAAACCGGAUUAGAUACCCGGGUAGUCCCAGCUGUAAACUAUGCAAACUCAGUGAUGCAUUGGCUUGUGGCCAAUGCAGUGCUGCAGGGAAGCCGUUAAGUUUGCCGCCUGGGAAGUACGUACGCAAGUAUGAAACUUAAAGGAAUUGGCGGGGGAGCACCACAAGGGGUGAAGCCUGCGGUUC